UUAUGACCAUGUCACCCGGAAACGCCGGUUCUCGUUCGAUCUCUGAAGUUAAGCAACGCCGAGCCCGAACAGUACCACGAGAGAUAACGACUUAGGAAUACCA